AAUCUCAGCCUCUCUUCAUCUGGAAAAGGUGCAGAGGAAGAGCACUAGCAGACAGUUUGUAGUUAAGGAUUACUGUGAAGUUCUCAGGGUACGAGACAACAGUCAGGAACACUGAUGGAGGAAUGAUGGCAAUGGGAUCACCUGCGUGCAUCAGCUGCAUGGAAACACCCAGAAGAAGAUCCCUGCUCAGCCAAGCUGGCCUUCCACCCCAGCUGCAUGAAUUUGGACAUUAUGGAAUUGCUUGGUAAGAGGUGGUACAAAAAAAGUGACCAGCACUGCUGGAUCCUUAUGCCUUCAGAAGCAGUUUUCAUAGAAAACUUGCCAAAUAGUUCCCUGAGCAGCAUGAAGUCUGCUUUCCCCAUAUCCAGUGUUAAUGUGGCACUUUUUCUCCUCUCACCAAAGAUUGUAUGUUCACCAAUCUCAUGGUCACUAUGGCCAGGACAGCCUCCAGUCACCAUUUCACCCAUGAGACCUUGUCUGCUUACAAGCAACAAAUCUAGGAGGGCACCUUUCCUAGUUGACUCCCUUGGUAUCUGUAACGAGAAGUACUACCAAAGACAUAAAAAUAUUUGUCUCUCUGAAAGAUCUCAGUCUUAUCCAUGAAAUCUCCCUCUUUGUUAUACUGGUCUGAAGCACAGACUGAUACUGAACGUUUCAGGAACUCCUCCAACCUUUGUGAAACAGUUAAAUUUACUUUGAGCAGAAUAUAAAUGACAUCAAUUUUGAAAGGUCAAGGUAUGAAAUAUUAUGUUAUUGCAAUACAUUUACUGUACCCACUAACUCUCACCAUCUGUACAUCACAGACAUCACUGAACUACCACAUUUUCUCUGAAAAAAAAAAGAAGAAAGGUCUUCAGAAAGCAGUAUUCUCUCAGAAUCUUGCAAUCCUUAGAAGUUUGUUCUCUUUCCAAGGAACAGUUAUAAAAGAGGUAAGGUUUAAGGCCCCAUCAGAGCUGGGUAAAUAACUUUUUGUGUAAAGUAAAUGAAUUCUGGGGGCACUGAAACUUGGGAACUUGGGGUACUAUCCACACAUAAAUAUCCACACCAGAAACAGAGAGUGGUGCAAAUUUAAAAAAGCCACAAUAUUUAAGUUCCAUGUUUUCAUUUUCAAUGAAAUUUCUCAAUUUGAAAGCACUGGAUAUUUUGCUAUGGUAUCUUUUAAACAAAAUAUUUGAAAUCAUGUUUUUAAAUACCACUCCCUUUGUUUUUUGUAAUAAAAUAAUCAAAAGGUCUUUGGAAAGUUCCAAUAUGUACUUCCCCAAAUCCUCAGACUAUAUAUGUUUUUUCUCCUCUAAACAAAACUGAUUGUUCUUCAGAUGACUUUCUCAUGGUGUGUAAUAUGCUGGGCUGCUGCUUGCACUACAAUUGAAUUUACUUUUUAGAACAUUUUCUGAAAUAUGCUUUAAAGAUAAUUCAUUUGACCUAAAUAUUAUCUAAAUCCCUGAGCCUGUUGCCUCCUAUUGGCCAGCCCAAGGCCCUCAGAGACAUCAAAAUCUUAACUGGAGAUUAACUUGUUUGAAGGUGGUCCUAGAUUUAUUUCAAUUCAUUACAUUGACCUUUAGAGUAUAUAUAGCAACUAAUGCAGUGCUUGUCAUGUGUUUUUUCUUGGUUCAUUUGCAUCUUUGCUAAGUGAAUAGGAAUAUUUAGAGGAAUAUUUUCUGAGACUGCUUAUUGAACCAUGAUACAGGUGAAUUUUUUAUCAUGAGCACACAUUUCUUACGUCAUACAGAGAGGUAUGACAGUGAUGCCGUUAUAAAGAGGAAGGGAACAGAUCCAAGUUAUAUAUUCAGAAAAUACUGCAGAAUGCCUGUUUGUUUUGUUUUGUUUUUGUGGUGUUGUGUUGUGCUUGUUUGCAAGCUUGGACAGAUCAGUAGCUCUGUGAGAACAUUGCUUUCUAUCAAAGAGUGACUUCUUGCUUUAUGACUUCUUGCAAGCUAAGGGAUAGUAAAGCACGGCCUCUGUGCCAGCUGCACCACUUUUCUUCCACAACAUCCAGAGAAAACAUGCCUGUAUUACCACAGGCUGCCAUCAGUCAAGUUUUAGUUGCUGUAGUUCCUUUAGCUAACAUGUAGAAUAUGUUCUCACAAUGUAAUUACCAAGCUCUGUCUUGCUAAGGUAGAGAAAUGUCAAUGUUUUUUGUGUAAUGUUGGAAAGAUCUGGGAAGAGAUAUUCUUCUUCCUGUUGAGCUUCUACAUCAAAAACAUCACCACACUGUAAUUCAGGGUGAUGCAAUGCAAUGUGCCAUAACUUCACCAAAAAGUUAGUCAAGGAAGUAAGCUCAAAGUGACAUAAUUCACUUUCAAAUAUUUAUUUCAGUAUAUAACUUCUGUUCUUAUUUGUAGAAAUGAAUAUGAGCUCCAUAUCUAACUUCAGGUAUCCAAAGCGACAUGUUCCUUAACAUUCCUUCCAAGCCCAUCCCCAGUAAUCCUCACACAAAGACUAACCCAUACUUCAUUCUUGGUUUCCUCUCCUAUGAGGAUAAGCUGAGGGAGCUGGAGCUGUUCAGCCUGGAGAAGUGAAGGCUCCAGGUAGAGCUGAGGGCUGCCCGUCAAGUGUCUAACGGGGGUCUACAAGAAGAAAGGGGACAGACUCUUUACCAGGGCUUGUUGUGAUAGGACAAGAGGAACUGUCUUCUAACUAAAAGAGGAGUUAUUUAGACAGGAUAUAAGGAAAAGGUUUUUUACAAUAUGGGUGGUGAGGCACUGGCACAGGUUGCCCCAAAAGGUGGUGGGUUCCCUACUCCUUGAGACAGUCAAGGUCAGGCUGGAUGGGGUUCUGAGCACCCUGAUGUAUCUGUAGGUGUCUCUGUUCACUGCAGGGAGUUGGACCAGGUGACCUUUAAGGAUCCCUUCCAACUCAAAUGAUUCUAUGAUUCUAUCACCAGCCCAUUUUCCUUUCUCCUUACAUCAUUCUCAUGGCUGGAAUCUUAGCUUAGUUAGGUAGAUAGAGUUGUCAGGGAUUUACAGAAAUGUGUGAACAGUUCAUGGCAGCACCUACCCUAUAUCAGUAUUCACUGCAGAUCAGCUGGUAGGAAUCCCACCUGGAAGAUUGCAAUGACUAAACUGUAAGAGUUGAACUUAUUUAUUUUUCUACCCACAUCAUGCAGCUGACAAAUCUGCAUUUUAUGAAUACAAAAACCUAUAAAGUAAAGAAUGAGUGUUUGAUCUUGACUUUAUUUUCUGUGACUAUGUUUCACUGUAAAUUUAGGAUCUAAAUGUUCCAUUUGAAUCCAGGCAAACACAGAUUUUUUUAUUAUUACAGAAAUUCUUUUCCUACACCUUGAUCUACUUACUAGUCCUGGAAAGACUUUUUAUCUGAAAGGUAUUCAUUUUUAAGUGAAAAUGUAUUCAUUUAGUAUAUAGAAAGACUCCUAAUAAAUGUUUUGUUUAUGAAUCUGAAAGUAGGUCACCUUGUAGGAACACUUUCAGAUGGUAAAACAUCCCAAAUGUCCAGAUAUCACAAAUUCUUGAUCUAUCUGGUAGUUCUCAUUGUUAUUUCUUGUCCAUUCCUCUCUAAUUCUGGCUAGAAAACAACUCUUCUUCCUUGAAUACCUCUCCAAACAUGGCACUAUUCCUCAUAUAAUCUACUGUGAACAUGGCAAUGGCACAAAAAGUGUAGCAUGGCUGGGAGCAUCUUGCAGCACCAUUCAUGAUUCUUUUAUCUCAAGAUUCUCAUUUCCUAAUUUUGUUCCCCCAUUUCCUGCACCCAUAUUGUGACAACCAGCUUCAAAGAAAACUUGAGGCUACAGAUUUGUCUCUCCCUGAUACUUACAUGAAGAUCUGAGGAUAAGAGGAACUUCUCUAAGAGAACAGACAGGAAAUUCUGUACUAACAGAAGUGUGUGAACAGUGUAACUCUCCUGGUAAAGCUUCGAUAGGACUCAUUAUGCAGACAGUAUAAACUAUUACAGGAAAAAAGGAAAAAAAAAAAGAGAAAAAAGCUAUAUCUGCCUGAGCCAAAACAAGAAGUGCAUCACUGAAGCUGUGUAUUAUGCAUGAGGUAUACAAUGCUGUUGAAAAUUGAUUUUUUUUAAUGGUGCAAAGAGAACUAGCAUAGAGUGAGAUGUGAUUUUAAAUUCUUAGCCUAAUAUCAUUGCUAAUUUUAAUUGCUAUUAGAAGAACCUUGUUUUCCUCUAAGGCAUUAUGUAAAGAAUCAUUCCAGCCCAAAUAUGCAUGGGAAAUGUUCAAAAGCCAUUAGAAAACAAACAAUGAACAUGAAAACAGCAGCAGUAAACUAGCCAAUAUCCCUGGCUAUGAAGCCAAGAUGUGGCUGUUCAGCUAUCAAGCAGGCGUUAACAGAUGACAGAUAAGUAAUUAUUCAACAAAGUUGGACGAAAAACACUUAAAAGCAUCCAAAAAAUCAUGCAAAAUAACAUCUGAAAUUUGAUGAACGAGAAAAAUUACACAUAGCAUAACAGCAUAAUUUCUGCGUAAUAUUCUUAAUUAUAAAAUAUUAACAUUUCAGCAUCUGAGGUGUUAAUGGCUGUUUGGAAUCCCAUUUCUGACACUGAGUACCGCACAUUUACAUAUAGCUGGAUCUGUACACAAGUCUCCAGCCUGUGCUGAGACUCAACUUUGGCACAGUGCCUUGUGGGAAAAGCAGCACAAAGGCAGUUGCUUUCUGUACCUUGCCUGGACACCUCCCUGCACAGUCAGGGCUGCCCUGUAUAAGAAUAGUGUCAGUCAGGAGCUCUUACCACCUUGCAGGAGAUGACCAUCACAUAAAGGGUUUUUGAUGGCACAUCCUUCUACUUCCCUGACCUGAGGAAAGCCUUGUUCACUGCUGAAGGGAGAAAAAUGAUAGAUUCUGUGGGUGCUCCCAUCCCUGGAAGUGUUCAAGGCCAGUUGGAUGGGGCCCUGGGCAGCCUGAUCUAGCUGGGGGCAUCCCUGCCCAUGGCAGGGGGAUGGCAGUGAAUUAAGUGAAUUAAGGUCCCUUCCAACCCAAGCCUUUCUCUAAUUCUCUGAUUCUCUGAUUCUAAGAUUUUCUGACACUACUGAAGGACAACAAAUGGGAUUCUGAAAGCGGUGCCUGCAGAAGAUAGUGGCACACAGAUGAAAGGCAGCAUUUUGUAAUGGCUGGGAAUUUAAACACAUCCAACCAAAAUAUGCGAAGCUUUAAGCAAAAAGGAAAAAUUCUAGUUUAAAUAAUAUAGAAGUAAUUGGGAUUCAACAGUGAAAAAAAUACUACACAGCUAAACUAGAACUGGCUAAACAUGCAAGUAGAGCUGGUGUAGCUCCUUCAUAAGGCUUACAGACUGAAAUGCCUUCUUCAUAAGUAUGCACUGCAAAGUGUCUUACCAAGAGAGGGUGUAAAGAAGUGGGAGAAAAAGUGUACAACACACAGUAGGACUCAAUAGCCAAGGUAUUCUCUAAUAAAGGACUGUCCUAUAUUAAAUACUCAUAGAGACCCAUCCAAAAUAGACAGAUUUCAUGGCAAUUUGUAAAUCAAUUACUUACUUGUUAACGCUGCUGUGAGGACCGCUUUGGACAUUACACAAAUGCCCAAAACAAUCAAAUUGAGUUCAGUAGCAGAGAAGUGCCCACAGCCAAGCAAACACAUGUGCCAUGUGUAGAACAAUUUCACAAAACAAGUAACUGUAUAGAAUCAAUUUAAAAUCAGUUAAUUUGAAGUAAAAGUGCAGCUUAAAAUAUCCCAGGAGAUAGGCAGGUGCUAGAACAGUUGCCAUAUAUGCUGUGUUUUGAGUGGCAGGAACAAUUUGGUUACAACAAUUGCAUUUUAAUUAGUAACAAACCAAAGAUCUGUAAUAACUUAUGUGAAAGGCGUAACUACAGACAAGAAGAACAAAUCCUGGCCUUACAGCUUGAGCAGAAGUAAGUGAAAAGCAGAAAGUAUUAGUCAUAGCACUUACAACACUUACUUUGAAAUAUUUGAUGGUGUGAGAACAAAACUGAAUAUUGGCAGAAACAUUUUUUUUUUGGUCCUAUUGAGCAACACAAUUUUUUUGUGUGUGUUUAAAAGGGUGGAAAAAUGUUUGAACUGAGAUACAGUAUUCUUAAGUCAUGAAAAAAAAAUCUGAUUUAUGCCUUUUAUCAUUAAAACAUUAUGUGGAUACAAAUAAGGACCGUGAUUGGCAGUGGCUGGAAAAGAAGUCUGUUGUUAACUCAUUAAUUAACUGCAUCAAGUACUUGUUUGGAAUUGUAGCUAAGUAUUUCAGAAUGGAUCUAAUGACAUUACUUUCAUUGUUUGAUGCAGAUAUACAUAUUUUACCCCAUGCCCCAUCGCUCAGAUUUUUGCAUAUUUCAUAGGAAUAUAAGAUUGGAAGUCCUCCUCCCCUUUAGUCACUAAAUACAUUCCCUGCUAACUGAGACGACCACGUGAAUAGUUUGCUACCAUUCUGUUAUUAUUAGAUACAUCAGACAGCUUCCUUUUUCUUUUCUGUUUUGUUUUUUUUUUUUAAACAAACUUGUCCCAAGAAGCUCUGUAAAUCUCAUUAUGUUAAGUGCACUGCCAACACUCAUCAACAAAGGGGAAAGACAUACGAUAAAAACAAAAACAGCUAUCUUUUAACCACAUGUAAAUUCCUGACAUGACUGAAGUUGAUGGGUACUCUGCCAUUUGUUUGAGAUUUCACCCUGCAGUUAUAGAAAGAAGGUGUUCCCACUCCUUCAGGCUUUCCUCGUGGAGCCAUAGAAGCAUAAAAGGAAGGAUGGGAUUAUAAAGCUACGUUCAUACAAAGGGUUCAGGAUUUACACACUGAGUCUGAAACUCACCUACCUGAUGCCUUCACUUAGCAGCUCUUCACUCCAGAAAGCCCACAGUUUCCAGGCUCCUAAUUUGUGCCUGUUCUGGGAUGCACCAAGAAUUACUUACACACUCAAAGGGAAUUCCCAAACCAUGAGACUACCACUGUAUUUUCUUCCUUGUGAGACCUUAUAAGACUGAUGUUCUUAGACCAACAACAACAACAAAAAAAAAGCUGUUUCUUCUACAAAAUUAAGGAAAAAAAGUAUCUUUUGUCCUUACCUUUUAAUGUCCUCAUCUUUUAUGCAAAAUUUGCAGGUUAAAUUUCUCAUCCAGGAUAUACGAGAUUCAAGGUUAAAUCUCAAGAAGGUUUGAUCAACCUCACCCCCUUACCAAGGGGGUUUUAUGUAUUAUCACCAUGUUUCAAACAAGUCAGAGUGAACCUCAAUUAGCCGUCUUAACUGUCUCCACUUUGCAUAUCGUAAUUCAGGAGGAGUUCAAAGCCUGGAAAGAUCUGAACAGUCCUAAGUCCAUUCAGCUGUAUCAUACAGUAUGCAAAAAUGUGAAGAAGAAACUACAAAACCUGGACUCAACUCUCCCAGCACCGCCACCUCUGAAGAUGAAAGAAACAAGUUUGAAUGCAACAGUGAAUGCUCCACAUCAUUAAGCUGCACUGGCUCUUCCUCUUACCUUCAUUAGGGAUUUGUGAGAAAGAGAGACACCAGUUUCAGGAGAGAGGUACUGACAUUGGAGAACCUUAAUGAGUGAGAUUCAUGCUUACUUGGGAUUUCUUACCACCACUGUGUGUUGAUAGGUGGGUCCCAUGGACCCCACUCUUGCAUACCUCACUCUCCAUAUACAUAGCACAACUGCCUAACUGUUGAAGUCUCUGCAUUGAAAAAAUGGUCCCUGAAAAUUCUUCAGUUGAUGGUGGACUCCCAGAGCAUAGUGAUGCACUGGAAUGGGUUGCCCAAGGAGGUUGUGGAUGCCUCAUCCCUGGAUGCAUUCAAGGCCAGGCUGGAUAUGGCUCUGGGCAGCCUGGUCUGGUGGUUGGUGACCCUGCACAUUGCAGGGGGGUUAAACUUGAUGAUCAUUGUUUUCAACCCAGGCCAUUCUAUGAUAUGAUUCUAUGACUCCGGUACAGAGAAUAAAAGAAAAUAGAAAAUAAAAAAAAAAUAGAUUUCCUUCCUUGCCUCUAAAAUUAUCAAUCUUACUGAUCUAAUGGGAUAUAAUAAUGCCAGUGUGAAACUGGACAGUUCAAGUAUUUUUCUGGGAAAGUUAUACUUCUGGGACUUGCAUAAAUGUUUUUGCAUUCAAAAAAACAUGGAGCUGAGGAAGUAUUUUGGACCGAAAACCAGUAUUUCCCAUACACAGAAUAAGUCAUAGAGACUCUCUUAGCCAGAUGCAAAACAAGCAAAAUGUAUCAGCUGGGAAACUUGUUUGAACUGACAAGUUAAGGUAAAAGAUGCUUGUGUUUGUUGCCUUCUGAACACAAUAAAAGUCUUUCAGUCUCAUGUGAGCAGAUACUGGUUUUCUCAUUUCACUGUGUUAUGCAUUUGUAGUGCUGAGAUCACUUUCGCACAGCUGUCUCAUGGGCAGAAGAAGGAGCGCACAGUCUUCCUCUUCAUGAGUUUUUGUUUGUUCUACAGAUGUAACACUUUAAACUGAAAAUCUCCUUCAUUACACCUGAACUUUGUGUCCCAUGAUUUUAUCUCUGGCUGUGGACAUCUUGGCUCUUGAUCUUCUCUUUGUAUCCUAAUUAAAUGGAAAACAAUUACUCAGAGGAGCUGGUUAUCUGGAAGGUUUCCAUACAGAGAUCUGAAAACAGAAGUUUCUUCUUCAGCCUGGCUCUCGUUUCUAUUACUUCAAGGCACAACUGAGAUGAAUUAUUUUCUGUUCUCUGCCCAUCAAACCGAACUCAGGGGUACAACAGCCUCAUGUAGCGUUACCUGCACUGGCACACACGGACUGCUACAGUGGUUACAAAAGUCAGCAGAGCAAAACUUGCAGUGAAAAACUGACAAGAGCACUCUUACACACAGAGCACUGUUCCAGGGACCAAGGAGUUCUCAGCAUAGCAAAGAAAUUUGACAAACUACCUGUCUGUGCUUAAUUAGCAGGUCAUUUGUUUUCCUUAUCAAUCAAUCCUUCCCAAGCUGUACUUCAAACAAAAAAAACAAACAAGUUUCUGUUACUGUUUUAUUAAAUGAUAGCUCUUGAAUGACUAUUUCUUCAAGACAACUAUUGAGGCAGAGGUGAUUUAUAUGAUACAAAUGUGAGGGCAUUCCCUAAGCGUGUUGCAUUUAUUUGGUACAGACAUAUGCCUCAUUUGAACACUUCUGAAUGCUCUUAAGCACUUACAGAAACAAGGAGGGGUAUGUUUUCUCAAAAAGUAAAAAAAAAAAAGAAAAGCUGUAAGCCUUUCCUUAUUGAUGAACCAGAAGUUGCAAAACUGGUUCAGUGCAGAAGCCUAAAAGUUAUUUGCCUUCCAUUCUGUACAGAAUGUCCUCCUUACGACCAGGCUCAGUGACAGCUGGCUUUCUGGACUGAAGAAAACUGCUCGGUCUCCUAUGGAUCCCAAGAAAUGUUUUUUUUCCUACCCGUGGAUGUUCCCUGCCCCUCUUGACUGCCUCUGCCUGAGAUUCCCUGCUCCUCUCCCCCGUGCUCCAGUUGCUGGAACUGUUGCUCUCCAGCUGUGCCCAGAUGUUUCCACAGGAAGGAUCCAUCUUCCUCCUCCUCCAGGAAAUCACUCUGACUCCAGUGCCCUUUUACCUUUAACCCAACAUGCAAGCAGCAAGCAAACAAAACAGGCAGACAGUCCAUAAUGGUCCACUGCUCUCUGUCAAUAUUUUUCAGCUUGUACCGGAAGAAGAGAGAAAAGCGUUACAGGAAAUAAAACAAAUAAUUAAAGGAUGUUACAAGCUGAAAAGGAAGCUGAGUAUUAAAUGACCAGAGAAACCCGUUCAUUCGUCUGGCAAAGGACAGAAAUGUCAGCCAUCCCCAGAUUUGCAGCAUCUCUUAUGCCGUGAGUGUUACAGGUCAAGUGAAAUAAAGGUUGCCAUAUCCCAGUACAGCAGAUGCAUUCAUGUUCCCACUCUUCCUGUAUCUCUCAAGGCGAAACAGAGGCCAGCAAUAAACUGGGCUCAGAAGGCCAUCAAACCCUCACUCUAACUCUGACUUUAAUUACUGGCAGGAGCUCCCUUUCAUCCACGGAAGGAAGACAGCGUGUUGCCCAGAAAAGAUGAAUUACCCCUUUCAGCUUCAGUGGGCCCUGUGAGCACCACACCCAAUUGGCUCUUGAUAUACCGACUUUCCAAGUUAAACUCCUAAACUCAAUCUUAAUUAUGCUUAGUUGGAUCUGGCCUCUAAUUAUCAUCAUGUCUUUUUAAAAAUCGUUCUUUCCACACCACGGUAGACCUUCCUAAUAAACUACUUCUUAAGCUUUAGAUUUCUAGCCGUAAAUUUGCUACCAACUCUGAACGUAAGCUUAAUUAUUAGUAGGAGCACAUUUUAG